AUACAUUAAAGAACUUUUUUUUUAUGUUACACAUUUUUUCAGAUACAAAAGACUGACCGAUACUGUACAGUUUUUUAUUGACUGUUGGAUUUUUUUCUUGUGUUUCUUUAGUUUUUGUGAGGUUUAAUUGACUUAUUUAUAUAAAUAUUUUUGUUUGUUUUUCAUGUGGAUGAGUGUCUGUAGGCAGGACCUGUGGCCAAGUUCUUAGUUGCUGUAUAUCUGGUUGUAGGACUGUAGAAAAGAGAACUGAACAUUCCAGAGUGUGUAGUGAAUCACUUAAGCUAGAAAUGAUCCUCAGCUGUUUGUACAUAAAUAAUCUCUCCAUUCCAGUGGAACAUUUUCUUUUUCCUGUUCUUAAAUUGUUUGGUUACACUAUGUGAUUUUGCUAUAGAAGAUGGCACUUAUAACCAAAGCCUGAAGUGGUAUAGAAACGUUGGUUUUUCAGUUUUCAGAAGUGGAUUGAUCAGCACCUACAAUGUACAGUCUUGUAUCUGUCUCUUAGACCAGACUCUGCCUUACCCAUAUUUUAUCCCCAGCUCAUGAAACAGCAACGGACUCAUAAAAGGCAUUCAAUAAAUAUUUGUUGGGCUAAACUGUACUAAACCUGAGACUUGCAACUCCAAAUUCUUAACACUGGAAUCUAUUCCUGCCUAAAAAUGUAAUUCACCGGCUGCAAGAAAUACAUACUCAUUGCCUAGGAAAAUGAUAACAAAUAUUAAAAGAAGACUAAUCUCAUGUCCUAGAGAUAACUGCAAGUUACGUUUUGAUUUUCUCCAGAUUUUCUUCCUGUGAAUACGGGUAUUUUAUAGAUUGAAAUUAUGAACAAUUUAACAUGAGUUGUAAAAUUUUUUCCUCAUUAUCAUAUUUUGGGGGGAAAUCUCCAUUUCUGAUGGUUCUUGGAGUUUUUAUUCCAAUAUUCUAAUAUUUUAACACUCAAACAUACAAGUAUCUGAAUUUAUUUAGCCUUUCUUACUGUUGAUUAUUUAAAUUGUUUCUGACUUUUUAA
rnacentral:lncRNA from 1 species